UACGAACUGUGCGAACGUUAUUCGGAAUCACUGGGCUUACAGGGUGCGUAGGCGGCCUGUCAAGUAGGGUGUGAAAGCCCCCGGCUCAACCGGGGAAUGGCGCCCUAAACUGGCGGGCUGGAGUGAGAUAGGGGUGUGCGGAACUUCCGGUGGAGCGGUGAAAUGUGUUGAUAUCGGAAGGAACGCCGGUGGCGAAGGCGGCAUCCUGGACCGGUAUUGACGCUGAGGCGCGAAAGCUAGGGGAGCAAACGGG
rnacentral:rRNA from 1 species